UUUCAUCAUAGGAAAAGACAAGGCAGGUAGCUGUGGAUAAUUUCUGAAUAGCCAAAGUGAUUGGUCAUCAUUACCAGACCUACAUAGUAUGUCCAAACUUGUGUUCUGGGGUCCACUGAUCCUGAAGUUCCCUCACAGUCCAGUUUGAAGA
rnacentral:lncRNA from 1 species